rnacentral:tRNA from 1 species
AGUUACACUGGUGAGAUAGAGUGAACGAGAGCUUCCCAAGCUCUAUACGAGGGUUCGAUUCCCUUCACCCGCUCCA